rnacentral:lncRNA from 1 species
CCUGGACCCCGCGUUAGGGAAGCAGCGGCAGCGGGGCGCGGAGCUCAUUUCCUGCGGGCCGCCUAAAGACAGUACCGGUCCGUGUAGCUCCGCCCACCCUCUCUCUGUUAGGCCUCCUCGUCUUUGCCCGAGACCCGUCCCUUACCGUUUCUUUUCUUAGUUUGAACUAAGGGCCUUCACACGGAACUGUGUCCCCAGCACCUGAUUUUUUUUAGUUUGAAGCCCGUCUUGUUAGGUCAUUGAGUUGCGCAGGCUGCACUGGAACUCGUGAUCCUUCCUAGCUCAGCGCUGGGAGCCCUGGGGUUACAGGCGUGCGUCUCCCUCCGAGAUGAACUUGGAGCAGGCUCUGGGGUUCUCAGACAGCGCAAUGCCUCCAGGAACCAGGUGAAUAUACCAGGAAAAACUAGAAACAGUGGUAGUGAG